CCCGACUUAGCUCAGCGGUAGAGCGCCUGGCUGUAGACCGGGAGACCGCCGGUUCAAAUCCGGCAGUCGGGA
rnacentral:tRNA from 1 species